rnacentral:rRNA from 1 species
AGGGUUUGAUUAUGGCUCAGGAUGAACGCUGGCGGCAUGCCUAAUACAUGCAAGUCGAACGAACUACCUCUAUGACCUUGAAAGUGCUUGCACUGGAUUGUGAUUAGAAUUUGUAGUUAGUGGCGGACGGGUGAGUAACACGUGGGUUACCUGCCACACAGAAUGGAAUAACUAUUGGAAACGAUAGCUAAUACCGUAUAUGACCUUCGGGUUGAAAGGGGCGUUUGCCUCGCUGUGUGAUGGGCCUGCGGCGCAUUAGCUAGUUGGUAAGGUAAAGGCUUACCAAGGCGACGAUGCGUAGCCGGACUGAGAGGUCGAUCGGCCACAUUGGGACUGAGACACGGCCCAAACUUCUACGGGAGGCAGCAGUAGGGAAUUUUCCGCAAUGGACGAAAGUCUGACGGAGCAAUGCCGCGUGAGUGAUGAAGGUUUUCGAAUCGUAAAGCUCUGUUGUAAGGGAAGAACAGCACUAGUAGGAAAUGACUAGUGCGUGACGGUACCUUACCAGAAAGCCACGGCUAACUACGUGCCAGCAGCCGCGGUAAU